rnacentral:rRNA from 1 species
UUUAAUGUUUGAUGUUCUAACGUGGACCCGUGAUCCGGGUUGCGGACAGUGUCUGGUGGGUAGUUUGACUGGGGCGGUCUCCUCCUAAAGAGUAACGGAGGAGCACGAAGGUUGGCUAAUCCUGGUCGGACAUCAGGAGGUUAGUGCAAUGGCAUAAGCCAGCUUGACUGCGAGCGUGACGGCGCGAGCAGGUGCGAAAGCAGGUCAUAGUGAUCCGGUGGUUCUGAAUGGAAGGGCCAUCGCUCAACGGAUAAAAGGUACUCCGGGGAUAACAGGCUGAUACCGCCCAAGAGUUCAUAUCGACGGCGGUGUUUGGCACCUCGAUGUCGGCUCAUCACAUCCUGGGGCUGAAGUAGGUCCCAAGGGUAUGGCUGUUCGCCAUUUAAAGUGGUACGCGAGCUGGGUUUAGAACGUCGUGAGACAGUUCGGUCCCUAUCUGCCGUGGGCGCUGGAGAACUGAGGGGGGCUGCUCCUAGUACGAGAGGACCGGAGUGGACGCAUCACUGGUGUUCGGGUUGUCAUGCCAAUGGCACUGCCCGGUAGCUAAAUGCGGAAGAGAUAAGUGCUGAAAGCAUCUAAGCACGAAACUUGCCCCGAGAUGAGUUCUCCCUGAGACUUUAGGUCUCCUGAAGGAACGUUGAAGACGACGACGUUGAUAGGCCGGGUGUGUAAGCGCAGCGAUGCGUUGAGCUAACCGGUACUAAUGAACCGUGAGGCUUAACCUUACAACGCCGAAG